UACGGGGGGGGCAAGCGUUGUUCGGAAUUACUGGGCGUAAAGGGCUCGUAGGUGGCCAACUAAGUCAGACGUGAAAUCCCUCGGCUUAACCGGGGAACUGCGUCUGAUACUGGAUGGCUUGAGUUUGGGAGAGGGACGCGGAAUUCCAGGUGUAGCGGUGAAAUGCGUAGAUAUCAGGAGGAACACCUGUGGCGAAAGCGGCUCACUGGACCACAACUGACGCUGAGGCGCGAAAGCUAGGGGAGCAAACAGG
rnacentral:rRNA from 1 species